CUCAGUAACGGCGAGUGAAGUGGGAUGAGCCCAGCACCGAAGCCGGCGGUCGCGAGACUGUCGUGCAAUGUGGUGUUCGGGAGGGCCCCGUCCGCGUCCGGUGUCGGUCCAAGUCUCCUGGAAUGGAGUUCCGUGGAGGGUGACAGGCCCGUGCGACCGAUCGCCGCGUUCGCGGACGAGUCCUCCUUCGAGUCGGGUUGUUCGCUAAUGCAGCCCUAAGCAGGUGGUAAGCUCCAUCUAAGGCUAAAUAUAACCACGAGUCCGAUAGUCAACAAGUACAGUGAUGGAAAGUUGAAAAGUACUCUGAAGAGAGAGUCAAAUAGCCCGUGAAGCUGCCAGUAUGGGAUUAAGCGCACGUACGACGCGUGUCGUCGGCCAAAUAGGCGUCCGUGCGCUGUCGGUCGACGAGCGGCGGCUUUUUUCUCUGAAACAGCCGUUGUUCGUCGCACUCUGGACGGUGUGCAGAACGCUUCCCUUUGGUCGGCAUCGACAGGUCGGGGCUUCGUUGUCCGGUCUUAUUGCCGACGGUGAUUUGCAGAGCCGUGUCGGGCGCGCGCUCGUUUUCGGACGAGCGUCGCGCGCUCCGUGGAACGUGCGCCCCCGGUUGGCGGCCACGGCCGGCCUGGUCUGCGAUGCAAUGCCGUCGAUGGCGAACGACUGGGCGACGGCCGGCGCAAAUCGAAGAGCAAUCUUCGGCUCGGCCUUUGCGUUGCUAUGUGCGGCCCGUCUUGAAACACGGACCAAGGAGUCUAACAUGUGAGCGAGCGAUUGAGAUUGUCGAAUCUCAAACGCGCAAUGAAAGUGAAGUGUCGUCUGACGGCACGAGCGGAGAUCCGUCGUCACUCGUGGCGGCGGCGCACCCGCGGGCCGCGCCAUCGGUUGGCUUGCUCUUCGGAGCACUGCUGAGGCGCGGACCUAGAGCCCACACGUUGGGACCCGAAAGAUGGUGAACUAUGCCCGGCCAGGAUGAAGCCAGAGGAAACUCUGGUGGAGGUCCGCCGCGAUUCUGACGUGCAAAUCGAUCGUCUGAGCUGGGUAUAGGGGCGAAAGACCAAUCGAACCA
rnacentral:rRNA from 1 species